rnacentral:snRNA from 1 species
AUACUCAAGUCAGUGGUACACAUACUAAAAUCAGAAAGAUACAGAGAAGAUUAGCAUAAUCCCUGAACCAGGAUGACAUGCAAAUCAUGAGGUGUUCCAUAUUUUA